CAGCAGCCGCGGUAAUACGAAGGGGGCUAGCGUUGCUCGGAAUGACUGGGCGUAAAGGGCGCGUAGGCGGCGGCCAAAGUCAGGCGUGAAAUUCCCGGGCUCAACCUGGGGGCUGCGUUUGAUACUUGGUUGCUUGAGUGGGGAAGAGGGUCGUGGAAUUCCCAGUGUAGAGGUGAAAUUCGUAGAUAUUGGGAAGAACACCGGUGGCGAAGGCGGCGACCUGGUCCUUUACUGACGCUGAGGCGCGAAAGCGUGGGGAGCAAACAGGAUUUGAUACCCCUGUAGUCCCUGUCUCUUAUAC
rnacentral:rRNA from 1 species